GUGGGGUGUGGUGGUGCACACCUGUAAUUCUAGCAACUUGGGAAGCUGAGGCAGAAGGAUCACAAGUUCACGGCCAGCCUCGGCAACUUAGUGAUACCCUGUCUCAA
rnacentral:sRNA from 1 species